CGCGUUCAUCCGGGUCCUGGAGUCUCAGCACAGAGGCUGAUCGCGGGUGUUCAUCGCUAUUAGCUAUUAGCCAUUAGCCGACUAGCCUUCAGCUUCCAUUGAGGACACAGUGAAGACCGACUGUGCGUUUGGAAAUGUGGUAGAUGCCGAGACGAGAAUCCUAACAUGGCGGACAAAAGGGACUUCGGAAAAUCAGUUUGGUUACUUGUGUCACUAUCCAGUUGCAUUACUUCAUUUCCAGGUGGGAAGAAGACGACAUGUGCACCGUGGGAUGAGGUAGUAGGUUGUAUAGUUUUAGGGUCACACCCACACUGGGAGAUAACUAUACAGCCUACUGUCUUUCUCAAAGUGAAAACGGAGCUACGGAGUAACAGCCUACAUUUCCUGAUGUUUAAUAUCAGAUAUAUCAACGGUAUGUGUCGGCAAGCUGAAAUGUUUUCGAUUGUUAAAAGAGAUGGCAGUGCUUGCGCAGUGUGAGGUAGUAGAUUGUAUAGUUGUAGGGUAGUGAUUUUAUCCUGUGUAGAAGAUAACUAUACAAUCUAUUGCCUUCCCUGAGGGGCAUAAAUACACACCAAAGGAAUGCCUCAGUUCCAAUGUGAUGCAAUGUCUCUUUGUUUUGUUUUGUUUUUUUAAUCAAGCUUCAAAUUUUCCUUGUGUAAGGUAACUAUUUUUUUUUACUAACACAAUAAAAGAAUGUCAAAUUUA